rnacentral:rRNA from 1 species
UACGUAGGGUGCGAGCGUUGUCCGGAAUUAUUGGGCGUAAAGAGCUCGUAGGCGGUGUGUCACGUCGGCCGUGAAAACCUGGGGCUCAACUCCGGGCCUGCAGCCGAUACGGGCGAACUAGAAUUCGGUAGGGGAGACUGGAAUUCCUGGUGUAGCGGUGAAAUGCGCAGAUAUCAGGAGGAACACCGGUGGCGAAGGCGGGUCUCUGGGCCGAUAUUGACGCUGAGGAGCGAAAAGCGUGGGGGAGCGAACAGG